rnacentral:piRNA from 1 species
UACCUUUCAUCUCAGCACUUGGGGAGGAAGU